CAAGUCAUCAUGAUGCUUAUAUCCAGGGCUACACACAUCCUACAAUGGGCUAUAACAGAGGGUUGCAAGACCGCAAGGUGGAGCUAAUCCCUAAACUAGCCCUCAGUUGGGAUUGCAGGCUGAAACUCGCCUGCAUGAACCCGGAAUUGGUAGUAAUCGCACAUCAGCAGCGUGCGGUGAAUACGUUCUCGCCUCUU
rnacentral:rRNA from 1 species